rnacentral:rRNA from 1 species
UAGUGAGUUUGAUCCUGGCUCAGAACGAACGCUGGCGGCAGGCCUAACACAUGCAAGUCGAGCGCCCCGCAAGGGGAGCGGCGGACGGGUGAGUAACGCGUGGGAACGUACCCUUUGCUACGGAAUAGCCUCGGGAAACUGGGAGUAAUACCGUAUGUGCCCUUCGGGGGAAAGAUUUAUCGCCGAAGGAUCGGCCCGCGUCCGAUUAGCUAGUUGGUGAGGUAAUGGCUCACCAAGGCGACGAUCGGUAGGUGGUCUGAGAGGACGAUCACCCAGACUGGGACUGAGACACGGCCCAGACUCCUACGGGA